rnacentral:misc_RNA from 1 species
CUUCCUAUGACCCAAAAAUAUACCUGCAACUCCAAGUAUAUAUAAUUAAUCCAGAGAAAUGACAGAAAUUAGGAAGGUUAAAUUGAUCAUUAGGUUAGCCCACAACUAUUUACACUUCAAAAAUUAAUGUUUAUGCUAAAAGAAAAUGGACAAUCACGCAAAAACAUCAUUGGAUCAAACAGAAUUUGUUUGAUUGCCCUGGCUUCAUAGAUGCCUGGAUUUAGGUGUCAAACCAACCAUGCAAAAAGAUUCUGUUCUAACUGGACAGGUUGGCUGUAAUCCUAGAAACAUAAUUGUAAAUCAAAGACUGCUGCCUAAUAGGUGCAAUAGUGAAUAUAAAUCCUUACCCAUUU